rnacentral:rRNA from 1 species
UACGGGGGGAGCAAGCGUUGUUCGGAUUUACUGGGCGUAAAGGGCGCGUAGGCGGCCACCGCAAGUCGACUGUGAAAUCUCCGGGCUUAACCCGGAAAGGUCAGCCGAUACUGCGGGGCUAGAGUGCAGAAGGGGCAACUGGAAUUCUCGGUGUAGCGGUGAAAUGCGUAGAUAUCAGGAGGAACACCGGUGGCGAAGGCGGUUCUCUGGGCAUGUCCUGACGCUGAGGAGCGAAAGUGUGGGGAGCGAACAGG